AGUAGAAAAGUUGGUGCUUAGACCACGCCCUCUACCGUAAUAAUAGAUAAAUAGGCG
rfam:Potato yellow vein virus hsp70 gene for heat shock protein 70 homologue, cp gene for coat protein and ORF7, ORF60 and ORF10, genomic RNA 2